rnacentral:rRNA from 1 species
GACGAACGCUGGCGGCGUGCCUAAUACAUGCAAGUAGAACGCUGAAGGAGGAGCUUGCUUCUCUGGAUGAGUUGCGAACGGGUGAGUAACGCGUAGGUAACCUGCCUGGUAGCGGGGGAUAACUAUUGGAAACGAUAGCUAAUACCGCAUAAUAGCAGUUGUUGCAUGACAACUGUUUGAAAGGUGCAAUUGCACCACUACCAGAUGGACCUGCGUUGUAUUAGCUAGUUGGUGGGGUAACGGCUCACCAAGGCGACGAUACAUAGCCGACCUGAGAGGGGGAUCGGCCACACUGGGACUGAGACACGGCCCAGACUCCUACGGGAGGCAGCAGUAGGGAAUCUUCGGCAAUGGACGGAAGUCUGACCGAGCAACGCCGCGUGAGUGAAGAAGGUGUUCGGAUCGUAAAGCUCUGUUGUAAGAGAAGAACGAGUGUGAGAGUGGAAAGUUCACACUGUGACGGUAUCGUACCAGAAAGGGACGGCUAACUACGU